rnacentral:rRNA from 1 species
AACGAACGCUGGCGGCGUGCUUAAGACAUGCAAGUCGAACGGUAAGGCCCCCUUCGGGGGGUACACGAGUGGCGCACGGGUGAGUAACACGUGGGUAAUCUACCUUCAGGUCUGGGACAACUCCGGGAAACUGGAGCUAAUACCGGAUGAGACCACGAGGUCCUCGGACUUCGGCGGGAAAAGAUGGCCUCUCCUUGGAAGCUAUCGCCUGUUGAUGAGCCCGCGCCCAUUAGCUAGUUGGNGAGGUAACGGCUCACCAAGGCGACGAUGGGUAGCUGGUCUGAGGAGGACGACCAGCCACACUGGAACUGAGACACGGUCCAGACUCCUACGGGAGGCAGCAGGUCGGGAAGUUUUGGGACAAUGGGCGAAAGCCUGACCCAGCAACGCCGCGUGAGGGAU